CCCAUCUACACGCUCUUAAGACCUCGCAACGUUCCAAACCCACUUUCCCUAUUAAAAACUAACAACGUUCUACUGAUUCUCGAACUCGUGAGGAGACCUGACGGCCCACACGCUUCCCAAGGCCAGAACCGCCUCAAGCGCGGCCUCCACCGCACGAAGCCGCCUCAGCACUCACCGCCUCACGCACCGCCCGCCCCAACAACGGCACCCAGCGGCGGGCUCCACAGCCAGCCCCGACUGCCUGGGAAACACCCACCCCACUCGAGCCCGCUCUUCCAGUCCGCCUCACGAUUUGCUUCUGGUCUGGAUGAUGUGGAUAUCUACACAUUUUCAGCUGAAGAAAUGGAAAUAGCAUAUUAAGAACCAAAUUCCAUAGGAAAAAAAACAAUUAAGAACAAACCAACAAAAAAGGAAGUGAGCAGAGGUUGGUGGUAUAGUCAAUAUUUACAGAAAUUAUGUAUUUUUAAGUUAUUUCUAGUCCAAAUGUUUUCAUAUAGGAUGUCUUGUCUUUCUGAAUUACCUUCACCUGUGCUCCCGCAGCUGACCCAUCAUUUGCCUCAGAUGGUUGGUUAAUCAGAGGCUCAGGCUGUGAUCAACAGUUUCCCAUACAGAUGUUUAGUUCUAAGCCUCAGUAGCUGGAAUGCAUUUACUGAGCAGAACAGGAGCGUAAUGUUUACAAACAGCAUUGCUGUAACAGUGUCUUUUAGCACAGUUAUCCCUUAGCAUGUAGAGUCACUCCACGUUGAAACCAGCAGUAUUCCAGUUUAUUUUGAGGAAUGUGUAAGUAGCUGAUUGCAACAAAUAUACUGGUUUUUAAUUCCUUUUAAGCUGCUGUUUUCUUUUCAGUUGAUUUGUCUGUUUUUUUCCUUAUUAAACAACUGGAGAGUUAAAACGCAUUUUUAUACAACAAAUCAUGAAAACAUAACUCCAUUAGUUGUUGUAUAAGCUAAAAUUGCCCUUCAGUGAAAAUUUGCUUAAAAAGUACAGUCAGUUUGCUGAAGCAUUACAGUGUAUGUUUCAGAUAAGAUUUUGUUGUCUUUCUAACAUGAAAUCCGUGGCAUGGGCUGUUUUCUAUUUGUGUAAGCUUGACAAGAUACCGAUGUGGAAGACUUCCUCCAUUUUACUUAAAAUG
rnacentral:lncRNA from 1 species